rnacentral:rRNA from 1 species
CCUACGGGUGGCAGCAGUGGGGAAUAUUGCACAAUGGGGGAAACCCUGAUGCAGCGACGCCGCGUGGGUGAAGGAGCGUUUCGGCGCGUAAAGCUCUAUCGGCAGGGAAGAAGAUGACGGUACCUGACCAAGAAGACCCGGCUAACUACGUGCCAGUAGCCGCGGGAAUACGUAGGGGGCAAGCGUUAUCCGGAUUUACUGGGGGUAAAGGGGGCGCAGACGGGAAUGCAAGCCAGGAGUGAAAGCCCGGGGCCCAACCCCGGGACUGCUCUUGGAACUGCAUGGCUGGAGUACAGGAGGGGUAGGCGGAAUUCCUGGUGUAGCGGUGAAAUGCGUAGAUAUUAGGAGGAACACCGGUGGCGAAGGCGGACUGCUGGACUGUGACUGACGUUGAGGCCCGAAGGCGUGGGGAGCAAACAGGAUUAGAUACCCGGGUAGUC